rnacentral:rRNA from 1 species
UGGGGAAUCUUAGACAAUGGGCGCAAGCCUGAUCUAGCCAUGCCGCGUGAGUGAUGAAGGUCUUAGGAUCGUAAAGCUCUUUCGCUAGGGAUGAUAAUGACAGUACCUAGUAAAGAAGCCCCGGCUAACUCCGUGCCAGCAGCCGCGGUAAUACGGAGGGGGCUAGCGUUGUUCGGAAUUACUGGGCGUAAAGCGUACGUAGGCGGAUCAGAAAGUAUGGGGUGAAAUCCCAGGGCUUAACCCUGGAACUGCCUCAUAAACUCCUGGUCUUGAGUUCGAGAGAGGUGAGUGGAAUUCCAAGUGUAGAGGUGAAAUUCGUAGAUAUUUGGAGGAACACCAGUGGCGAAGGCGGCUCACUGGCUCGAUACUGACGCUGAGGUACGAAAGUGUGGGGAGCAAACAGGAUUAGAUACCCUGGUAGUCCACACCGUAAACGAUGAAUGCCAGUCGUCGGGCAGUAUACUGUUCGGUGACACACCUAAC